ensembl:rRNA 5S_rRNA 5S ribosomal RNA
GCUUAUGGCCAUACCACCCUGAGAACGCCCGAUCUCGUCUGAUCUCGGAAGCUAAGCAGGGUCGGGUCUGGUUAGUACUUGGAUGGGAGACCGCCUGGGAAUACCAGGUGCUGUAAGCU